GAUGAACGCUGGCGGCGUGCCUAAUACAUGCAAGUCGAGCGAACAGACGAGGAGCUUGCUCCUCUGACGUUAGCGGCGGACGGGUGAGUAACACGUGGAUAACCUACCUAUAAGACUGGGAUAACUUCGGGAAACCGGAGCUAAUACCGGAUAAUAUAUUGAACCGCAUGGUUCAAUAGUGAAAGACGGUUUUGCUGUCACUUAUAGAUGGAUCCGCGCCGCAUUAGCUAGUUGGUAAGGUAACGGCUUACCAAGGCAACGAUGCGUAGCCGACCUGAGAGGGUGAUCAGCCACACUGGAACUGAGACACGGUCCAGACUCCUACGGGAAGCAGCAGUAGGGAAUCUUCCGCGAUGGGCGAAAGCCUGACGGAGCAACGCCGCGUGAGUGAUGAAGGUCUUCGGAUCGUAAAACUCUGUUAUUAGGGAAGAACAAAUGUGUAAGUAACUAUGCACGUCUUGACGGUACCUAAUCAGAAAGCCACGGCUAACUACGUG
rnacentral:rRNA from 1 species